rnacentral:rRNA from 1 species
GACGAACGCUGGCGGCGUGCUUAACACAUGCAAGUCGAACGGAAAGGCCCUGCUUUUGUGGGGUGCUCGAGUGGCGAACGGGUGAGUAACACGUGAGUAACCUGCCCUUGACUUUGGGAUAACUUCAGGAAACUGGGGCUAAUACCGGAUAGCAGCUCCUGCUGCAUGGUGGGGGUUGGAAAGUUUCGGCGGUCGGGGAUGGACUCGCGGCUUAUCAGCUUGUUGGUGGGGUAGUGGCUUACCAAGGCUUUGACGGGUAGCCGGCCUGAGAGGGUGACCGGCCACAUUGGGACUGAGAUACGGCCCAGACUCCUACGGGAGGCAGCAGUGGGGAAUAUUGCACAAUGGGCGGAAGCCUGAUGCAGCAACGCCGCGUGCGGGAUGACGGCCUUCGGGUUGUAAACCGCUUUCGCCUGUGACGAAGCGUGAGUGACGGUAAUGGGUAAAGAAGCACCGGCUAACUACGUG